AAAAAGAAAAUGCAAUUGAGCAGCUUUCUGACAGCUCAGUAUUGGUACUGUGAUAGAGAUUCUGAGGCUAUCUGCACUGCAUCCAAGAUGUCACUAAAUCAAAUUAUUGCAAUUUUGCAAAAGCAAAAUCCCACACAUUGACAGGAGAGGAGAGAGGAGGAGAGAAGAUGAAAAUGAUGAGGAAGAGAGAGAUGCAGAGGGAAGGGAAGAAGGAAGCUACCCACCAUCGAGAACCAAAUAAUUGAGAAAAAAUCAAAUAUAAAAUCAUGGCUUCUGGAAGCAGAGGGACAGUACUUGUAGACAUGUGAAAAAUACUAACUUAAACAAAAAAAGGAAAAGUGGCACAGAAUUCCAGGGGGUGAAAGUUGGAUAAUCUCAUUAAAAAAAGUACAUUUUUAAUUUCUGA